rnacentral:rRNA from 1 species
GUAUUAAUAAGCGGAGGAAAAGAAACUAACAAGGAUUCCCCUAGUAACGGCGAGUGAAGCGGGAAGAGCUCAAAUUUAAAAUCUCCUCGGAGAAUUGUAGUUUAUGAAGGCGUUAUCGAUGAAGGUCUGGGUACAAGUUCUUUGGAACAAGGCAUCAUAGAGGGUGAGAAUCCCGUCUUUGACCCAGCUACCUUCACACUACGAUACGUCUUUUAAGAGUCGGGUUGUUUGGGAUUGCAGCCCUAAAUUGGUGGUAUAUUCCAUCUAAAGCUAAAUAUUGGCCAGAGACCGAUAGCGCACAAGUA